rnacentral:tRNA from 4 species
GGGGUUCUGGCCGAGUGGUUAAGGCGCUGUGUUUAGGCCGCAGUGGGAAACCGCGCAGGUUCGAAUCCUGCGGACCUCA